ACUUACCAACCCGAUGCAAACUACGAAUACCGAAGAAUGUUAUCACGGGAGACACACGGCGGGUGCUAACGUCCGUCGUGAAGAGGGAAACAACCCAGACCGCCAGCUAAGGUCCCAAAGUCAUGGUUAAGUGGGAAACGAUGUGGGAAGGCACAGACAGCCAGGAUGUUGGCUUAGAAGCAGCCAUCAUUUAAAGAAAGCGUAAUAGCUCACUGGUCGAGUCGGCCUGCGCGGAAGAUGUAACGGGGCUAAACCAUGCACCGAAGCUGCGGCAGCGACACUAUGUGUUGUUGGGUAGGGGAGCGUUCUGUAAGCCGUUGAAGGUGGCCUGUGAGGGUUGCUGGAGGUAUCAGAAGUGCGAAUGCUGACAUAAGUAACGAUAAAGCGGGUGAAAAGCCCGCUCGCCGGAAGACCAAGGGUUCCUGUCCAACGUUAAUCGGGGCAGGGUGAGUCGACCCCUAAGGCGAGGCCGAAAGGCGUAGUCGAUGGGAAACAGGUUAAUAUUCCUG
rnacentral:rRNA from 1 species